rnacentral:rRNA from 1 species
CAGUAGCCGCGGUAAUACGUAGGGUGCGAGCGUUAAUCGGAAUUACUGGGCGUAAAGCGUGCGCAGGCGGUUCGUUAAGACAGAUGUGAAAUCCCCGGGCUUAACCUGGGAACUGCAUUUGUGACUGGCGAGCUAGAGUAUGGCAGAGGGGGGUAGAAUUCCACGUGUAGCAGUGAAAUGCGUAGAGAUGUGGAGGAAUACCGAUGGCGAAGGCAGCCCCCUGGGCCAAUACUGACGCUCAUGCACGAAAGCGUGGGGAGCAAACAGGAUUAGAUACCCGCGUAGUCCCUGUCUCUUAUAC